UGUAUUAUAUAUAUAUUGCUGUAUUUGGUCAUCCAAGUUGAAGGGAAAGAACUAGCUAGCCUCCUUUCUGGUUUCAAAUCGAAGGUUCUGGUAUUUGUUUAUGGGAUUAGUAGCAAACAUAAUUAUGACUAUAUAUGAAGAAGAUCAUGAUGAUCAUUUUAGGCAGUAUUUGCUAAUUAUAUAUUAACUUAUGAUAAUUAAUUGAUAAGCAGCAUAUCCCAUUAAGAGUAAUGGAUUAAGAUUGCAAUUGUAAGCUGAA